rnacentral:rRNA from 1 species
AUAGCGUAUAUUAAAGUUGCUGCAGUUAAAAAGCCCGUAGUCGAACUUCAGGCCUGGCUGGGCGGUCCGCCUCACGGUACGUACUGUCCGGCUGGGUCUUACCUCUUGGUGAGCCGGCAUGCCCUUCGCUGGGUGUGUCGGGGAACCAGGACUUUUACCUUGAGAAAAUUAGAGUGUUCAAAGCAGGCCUGUGCCCGAAUACAUUAGCAUGGAAUAAUAAAAUAGGACGUGCGGUUCUAUUUUGUUGGUUUCUAGAGUCGCCGUAAUGAUUAAUAGGGACAGUUGGGGGCAUUGGUAUUCCGGCGCUAGAGGUGAAAUUCUUGGAUUGCCGGAAGACUAACUACUG